UGUCAAAAUAGCGAGCAACGGCUGCGCGCGAAGCUUAUACGGAGGGUGUCUGCCAUUGUAACCCCAUUCGCAGUCAUGGCGUUCUCUGUGCGCACCGUUUCGAUGUUUUGCGCCGCUGUCAUGGUAUUCACACUUGUCCUGUGCGCCACAUGGACCGAAAGCGCGUGUCCCAGAAGGGGAGGCCAGUAUAGUAAUUGCGCCUACACCACCUGCACUCCGGAGAGCUGCGCCGCCCGAGGUCUCGAAUGCUGCCCAAAGCCUUGCGGGGGUUUCUGGUGCGUCAAAGGUGUACAGGUGAAGCGCUCAAGGCGGGCUCCUUUCCGCUGUCCAACGUUCGUGCCCCCUCGGGACGGCUGCGAGGGACAGCGCGAUAACGCUACUUGCUUUCAACUAAGCUGUAAAUCAAAAGCAUCCAUCUGCUGCCACGGACCCUGUGGGAACCCUUUCUGCCUCAAAGUUUGACACAUCCUGGCCGCUGACAUUGUGAGCCGAUAAGCCUAAGCUCAUUCACUAUUACUCGACAUAACUCCGACGGACAUGUGUUGAUGCACGCCAAUAAACACCUGAUUUUUCAAUCGCUCUAUUUGUGAAAUCCUACAAAGCUGAACAACAAUCUUUAAGAG
rnacentral:lncRNA from 1 species